GACUCAGGUGCCUUUGCUGUUGCCUCCUUAGGCUGGGAUUUCAUAUGUUCUCACCACUAGGUGCUGCCUACAUUAGGAAUGACGAUAAAGCCUCAGUCAUUUGUGUGCCAUUUGCCAUGUAAAGACAUAUGCUCUGAGCAUAUCUAGCUGUUUUAAAAUCUUUUUAACUGCCAUAUAACAUAUAGUCAUUCCUUAAAUAACUUAAUCCACUUCAAAAUGAGCUACAGUAGUAUCUGUUUCCUUUCCUGUCCUGCUUUCUUUCAUUCUGCUCUCUACUUUGGAAACAAUCAUGUUGGGCAUUUCUGCAGCUUAUUAACUAUAUUUUCAGCUGUGGAAAAACACGUAAGUGCUGGGAAAAUUUCUUUUUUCAAUAUUUUAGCAUAGAGUAUUGCUACUUAUAUUAAGAAUUUGGAAAAGAAAAAUGGUACCAAGACUAAAUUAUUAUACUCCGAAUGAGUGAGAUAUAUCUAGGAAGGAAGCAGAUGAUGAAAGUGAUUUCUUCAAAAGAGUGAAAAAUGAUAAAUGUACACAUGGUGGCGGGGGCGUUUGCCUGAGCUUCAGCCUGUUACUCUUCAUCAUUAAGGUUUAGACAUGUCUGCAACUUUUCAUCACACAGGUAUUAAGGGCAUAAAAAAACAUGUAUUCAAAUAGAGCCCAGAGUUUUUCUUGAGGAUGAGGAGAUGUGGUUAAAGGUGAAUCCACUGUUGGAAUUCAAAUAAAGCUGGGCAUGUGUGUCGAACUUAUGUGGUGGUCCAGUAGAAGUCUAGAAGGGUUAGGCUGUGGCACUAAUUAUCUUUCUGGGAAGAACUCACCCUAAUGGAAGAGAGAGCCAGUGGGGAUAAUCUUGCUUAUAUACGUUUCCUAGGCAUUGGUGAAGAGUAGGAAGUCAGCCUACGGCCUGUAUCCUGAAACGUGGCUAGGUCCUGGAGGAAGAAAGGGCUAGAAGCAAAAAUAGAACCUUUGUGUUAAACUGUCUAACUCACUGAGAGUCAAGAAAUACUUCCUUAGUAAGACCCCUCUUUAACCACAGAAGAAAUCAAUUCUCCUCACUCUAUUGCAGGCUGCUGGACAGUCUGGAUAUCCUCAAAGCAGCCACCAGGAGAUAAUGACCAGGCUGGAUCGAGCAGGAAGAAAGACAGGGUCAUUAGGCAGAACAGAGCACACAUGCAGCACCUAAUGGAUGCUGCAAAAGGCAGCAGGGCUGCUGAAGCCACAGGGGCAGUGGCAGGCAGUGGGAGAGGGUGUCCUUCCUGGUGGAGCCUCAAGUAAAGUAAAUGCAGGUGCUGAGAAAAUUGCUUCUGAGUACACAUGCGGUAUCACCUGGGAGUGCCUGGGAGGACUUGGAGAGGGGCACAUUUACAGUUAUGGACUUCCUGCAUGAGCAAGUAGGGCAUAAAUCCAGGUUAAUUGGGUUACGGGGAUAAAGAUUUAGUAAGCCUUUUGACUUACACAUCACAUAUAUAUGCUAUUUUAGUGCAGAAAGACUUAAAUUUUAAAUAUGUUUUAGAAGCAGUGAAGUUCAAAGGCCUCCUUUGGGGUCAAUUAAGACCUGCGUAUAUGUACCUUCAAAUGUUUAAGGGAGUUGCUCCUCAAUUUAGGGGCAGCUUAAGCGAAUACGUACCUAAAUAGGCAGAAAAAACUGGCCACUGAAAAGUCUUCUGUUUUCUGUUUUUAAACUUGUAGACUCAUAUUUGUACAUUACAUCAAGCUCCAAACAUGUAGGAACAUGCUGGUCACAAUAAACUAGUGAAUUCUGCCCCAAAUAUAUAUCUCAACAUGGUUUUUCCACUGCAGCAUGGUAUACAUUCAUAUCCUUCCCUCUAUAUCUUCUUAUUUCAUUUACAAGUGUUUUAUUUAUUAAGAUCUAUGUAAUGGGCUGUAAAGGUAACAUAGACGCAAAAGUUACAGACAGAAACCCUAUGGUUACUCCAUUCUUCUAUUUGUUACACAAUCCGUGUUAUGGCACAACUAAUAUGGUCACUUAAAUGUCCCAAGUCUGACAGUCAGUGAAAAUUCAUGAUACAACUUUAAGCUAUUGUAUUGAGUGUUUAUGUAAGUUCAAUGAAUAUAGGAAGAACACAUUGAAUUCUCACCUAUAAUGUUUUCUAUAAAUGUGUGAACCAGAAUCAAAUAUAUGAACAUAGGCUAGAAAAAAGCAGAGUGUUCCGUAAUAAUUCAAGGAGUAAAAUGUAUUAAUGCUUAUUUUUGUAUAAUUUAUAGCUUGGUCCUGUAGGAAAUUACUGGAGAUUACAAUGACAUUCAAAGGUAAAAGGAUUCAACAUUACAAAUGUUCCAUUUAAUUGUACCAGAAACAAGGUGCUGAAAGUAUGAUUUAAAUACAUAUACUUCAGAUUUUGGGCAGAAGGAGAUUGAAUUAUUGUUGAAUUUGGAUCCAGAGAAAAUAUUAUAUAAGGAUUAUAUAUACAUAUAUGAUUUACACAUAAUAUACAUUAAUAGGUAAUGGCAUAUAUAUGUUCAUACCCAAAUAUAGGAGGUGAUUUGAUGCUUAUGAGUUCUUGAAACACUGCUCUUUAACUGGGAAGAGAAAUUAUGAAGGGAAUAAUGAGGAAAAGCAAAAAAAGUAGCUUUCCUCCACCAGAUAACAGUUGGUAACUUUGCAAUUUUAAUGAAAAUCUAGCAAAUCAGGUAUUGUACAACUGUUUUCUCCUCACCAAAACAGGUAAGGAGGAAGCUCAUUUUCUACUGUUGAAGUCUACAGAUGAAAAUUCCUCUAAAAGUAAAACCAUCCCCAGUAGAUGUAAUUAGUCCAGUUUUUGGUCAUUAAUAGUUCAUUUAGGUUAAUCUAGAAAAUAUAAUUGCCAGUGACAGAGGAGGAGGUAAAGAAGUUUAUGAAUCAGUAAUCUAUGGAUUAAAUAUUUUUAUGUCUUUUAAAUCAUCUAAGUAAGUAAAUUACCAUCAUGUUCCUUUAAGGAAACGGCAGAAAAUUCAAGUCUACUCCCACUCGGCACACAAAUGAACCAUUCCAUAAUAAUAUUAUCUUGACUGCAAAAAGAACAGUCUUUGUUUACAUGUAAGCUGGAAAACUUUUAAAUAAUAAUCUUGAGGGUGGAGAAUAUACAGCACUCUCUUAGGUCAAAUUAUGACCACAGUUAUAACAGACAGUGCAAAAAGCUUUGAAAGGGAUAAGAUAAGACAAAGAGAAAUGACAGGAAAACAAAGUGGCCAAAGAAAUGUUUGGCAGAAGCCCAGCAUACUCCUGGCAUCCUCUCCCUAGGCCUUUUGCCUGUCUGCAGAAUUAUCACUUAUCUUCCACCAGCUUCUCUCUCUUUAAAGAAAGGCCAGUGUACCCCUUCCAAUGCUUCAUCAAUACCUCACAUGUCACAGAGUACAAUGUAAAUGGGCUACAAGCCCAUAUUUCAUGGUUCUCCAAAACAGCUUCUCAUAAGAACAAGGUUACGCAUUUGCAAGAUUUAUAAAACAGAGGGCUGAAUCUUAAUUAGGCCUGCACUGUUAAAUGAAAAUAUUUUCUUAGACACAUUGGCACUUUUCCCUUCAAGCCAAUAAUGCUCUCCUUCUCAAACUGUCUGCUUGCUUGUUUUAAAUAAAAGGUAAGUAGAUAUUUACUUAGAGUGAUAGAGGAAAUACACACCAACUACUUGGUAUAGUAGGUAGGUGGAAAGGGACAAGGAUCCAGAUGUUCUGAGUUACAUGCUGCUGCUGCCACUAGCUUGCUUUGUCACCUGGAGACAGUCAUUAAUCUUGAUGAACCUCCAUUUGUCUGUCUAUAAAUUGAGAAAGUAGGAAAUUUCUAAGGCUGCUUGUUAGUUAUAUGAUCUGUGAUCUAACCAUAUUGGUCAAUUAUAAAGUGUCAUGCCAGAGAUAACAUUUUAUGGGUCAAUUAGAGUAUGUGGUGACUGACUGGGGAAGUCAUAUAUGAUUUUAAUAAACUUCUUUUUAAAAAGAAAUGUAAGUUCUACAAAUCUACUAAACAUAUUCCUAGAUCCUUGAUCUCACCUUCACCAAAAGGUAUCUAUCUGAUCAAGUCCUUAUCAUAAUUUUCAAACAAUUUUAUUUAAGCCUUCUUAGGCUAGUUUCUAAUUUGGCACAAGAAGGUUCAAUGUAGAUCAUCUCCCUUGAUUCUUGGAUCUUAAGGAUGGGAAAUUGGAGGUCAUGGCACAAUUCAGCAGCAAGAGUAUUAGUGCAGCCCAGGUCCUGUGGUUUGGGCCAGGCAUCUCUCCAUUGCCAGAGGUUGCCUUCAGAAGUCUGAAUGGGACACAUAGCCCAUUUUCAGGCCUUGAGAAUUCCUGUGAGAAUUUCAAGCAAGCUUUUGUUUCAACAGCUCACAUGUGCAAGGGCCACCAAGAGUUUAGUAAUGUAAAUAGAUAACAUGUCAUCAUUUAGCCAAGGAAUCACAUUAUGAGCAUAUUCAAACCACAUUCAAAAGGACACCAGAUUUCCUUGAAACAUCUGUGGAUAAAGGAAGAAAAAUCAUGGUGGAUGUGUAGCCAGCCUCCAACAUGGGCUCCAAUGAUUCCUGCCUCUUGGUAUUCAAGUCCUUGUGCAGUUUCCUCCUACAAUGUAUCAUAAUUGGUCUUUGUGACCAAGAGAAUACAGCAGAAGUGAUGGCAUGUCACUUCUGAAGCUAGGUCAUAAAAGGUACUGUGGCUUUGUGGUAUAAUAAGAAAGACAUUCUAUCUUUGUCCAUAGUGCCUGGCACAGAACUCCUGUUGAGGAACCCCUGUUCCCUCAAACCCCUGGAACACCACACAGAGAACUAUCUCCAGGCCUGGACUUCCCCUGACUUGGAGACAGCCUUAUUCUCAGAUCUCUCUCUCUUUUAAAAUGGACUAUCCUCUUUACAACCCAGAGAGCCCCAUCCAAAUAUCACUCAUUGUGGAAGAAAUCUGAUGCCAUGUCUUGAGGACACUCAAGUGGCCUAUGGAGAGGCGAACAUAAAGACAAGAAACCCAAUCUCAAGCACUAUGAGACUCCCUCCUCUCCAUCUCCAAGGGUCAGGCCAUGGUCUUAGUCAUUGCCAAGAGCAUCACAGAAGGCCUCUGCCUCCGGUUCCUACCUGGGCCCUUUCUAUGCUCGUUAACUGAUGCUGCAGCCUGACUUCUUCAAGACUAAGUUGGGCUGUAUGCUUGCAGUCAUGGGAGGAAAACAAAAGAGGGUAUAAACACAAUGCAAUGCCUCGACACAUCACUCCAUCUCAGGGGGUCAGAAAAUAAAUUAAAUGUUAGGAAAAACAGAAAAGAAAUAAGCAACAUAGUGCCAGCCUUUGGGUUCUUAGACACUCAAAAGGAAACAGAAAGUACAGAAACAAUACACCAGGAAAUAAAAGAGGGCGUUUUUAGAAGUACCAUUUAAAUUGCAAGGGCUGCAGGAAUCAACAGAAGGAAAUAAUCGGGGCGAGGGGGAGGGGACUUAAUAAGAAUAAUAAUUAUAUAUAUUCCCUCAAAUUUGUAUGGAAUUUAUAAAUUACGAGGGACUUUUCGCACAUUUGUAACUUCAUUUUAGACACGCACAAUGAAAUUAAGUAAAAUGGGGUUGGCGGGACAGAUGGUAACAUCUUUAUUUUACAGAUGAGGAACUUGGACUCAGCUAGCUUUGGCGACUUGUUGAGAAAGUCAGAACCAGUUAGUUGUGGAAUAUAAAAUUGAGCUCGGCUCUCUUCCUACCUAGUCUUUUCUCUGCUCCGCUCCCACACUUCAGUGAGAGUUGCUUUCCUGAAGGAGUAAGUUCUAAAGCAGGAUUGGAAGUUCCUAUAGGGACAAAGAGAAGAGGCAUCCAUGAGUGGCAAGGAGUGUGAAAGGGAUGAAAAACACAUAGGAAGAAAUGGAGACAGGCAGAAGGUCCCAGCUACAGGACAGAAAAGCCAGGGUGUGGGCUUCUGAGAGAUGAUGCUGAGUGGUGAGUCACGGGUGACUAAGGGAGCCAUUGACAUCAGAUUGCAAAUUCUCCCCUCCUACCCCAUGAUGAAGAAGUUUAUCUCCUAUAUCUCUUUAUAUAUGAAAAACCAUAAAGAAAACACCAGUAUCUUCACAUAAUGUACCAUCCAAUGAAAGCAUACGCCAUCUCACUUGGGCCCUUUAUCAAUCUUAGUCACAGUGCCCAAUAUCAUUUCCAUUUCUCAUUCUCUGAGUUCUGUUAUCCAAAGCUUAUCCUCUUGCCUGGACUAUAGAGACAGAGGUGAAAUCUUUGAGAAGUGGAUCCUAUCCACUUGUCAUUACACCUCUGUAAUUCUUAGUGAUGUUCUACGUUGCCUCCCACAGUGACCCUGUACAAACCAUUGCAAGAGUUUCGGGGGUGGGGGACUGUUACUUGAGCCAACUUCUUCCAUCCUGCAAAGGCAGGGAUGGAGCUCAGGAGAUGGUGUUUUGCAUCUUUACAACUGGAACAAGAUGAAAGGUCUCUGAAGCAAUAAUGAGAUCCAGGCUUGAUUCAGGACAAGAGGCCAGAUGGGAACAGUAGAGCAUUAGGAUGUUGUGAUGCUGGGGUAACCUUUCCAUAAUGAUGUUGUGUGGCCUGAAGUUUGAUGCCAAGAAUCUACAGUGAUUUCUGGCUUAGAAAUAAGAAAUUGAUCAGUAAAUGAAAAAAAAAAAAGUCUACCUGUAUCCAAUCUCUCCCCACAAGCCCCCCUCCCAGCAUUGUUAUCUAUUUGUAUACACAACAGUAUUUUAGCAAAUGAAAAUUCUCAGAAUUCUAAUCACAUCCUUAUCCCAAAGCCUGGAUUUAGUCAGAAAGCUUUAUGGUGCUUCUGACUCAGUAGAGUUAGUUAUCCUGUUUAAUUGGAUUGACGGUGACAAUUGUAAUUACCUUAGAUGAGAUUGCCUGUAAUGUAAUUAUACUUCCUUCAUCAGCAUGAGCUGGACUUGUGGAAUACAUACAGAAGAUGCCUCCAAUUACUGAGAGGUUAAGAAGAACAUUAUAUUGCCUCACAAAUCCUGUUUGUUACUGUAUAGAAUUGUAAGAAUUAUGGAAGAAACUGAAGGAAUUACUCCUCUAAAGCAGAUACUCCUGGAAAGUUACACAACUUGGCUAAUACUCUCCUGCUAGAGUUGGACAGGAAGACCUUACCAAAGCUGAAAGAUAAGAGAAACAUUUGUUUGGGCUGAGGCAGCUGUUUCAUGAAAUGCAACAUCAUAUCUCAUUUUUCUUCAUGAACUUCUCUCAUUUAACAAUUAGGCUGGAAGAACACACAUUACCAAUAGGUUCAGUCGUAUAACACUCAGAACCUGGAAAUAAUGAGUUGGAAGUUUCAGAUCCUACAAAAUAAAUCAGUUACUCCAUCAAUUCUAUAAUAUAAGGCAAAGAAUCUGAAAAUUGAAGGAAGAUAUUUUGAACAACACUGUGCAAAAGCUAUUGCUGAGUUAGGUAUUCAGUUAAGCCAAACACCACGCCUGGUUCUCAGUUUGUUUUGCAAAAGCAUUUAUUCUACAUUUUAAAUAUGCACAUGUUUCAACUUGGGCUAGAAAGACUUAACUAAAAAUAACACCACUAUCACCAAGUGAUGCUAUGGUUGACCGAUACUCCAGGAUUUGAAAAAAAAAUUCCCCAAAUGGUACAAAUUCCCCAAAUGCUACAAAUUCCCUAGGAACUGGAAGCUUUUCCUCUCCUUAAGGUGAAAGACUGCUUCUCCUCUUGGUGUUUUGCCAUUAAAAAAAGAAAGUAUUUAGCAAACAACUAGCAGAUCCAUCAAAAGGUUAGGAUUCUUUUUAUUUUAGUGCUCUUUCUUAAUGGGCAAAAUUGAUUGAUUAGUUCACCUGGAAUGUUCUUAGCCUUAGGGCAGAAACAGAGCUUUGUAUGCAUUAGUGGACUGGGUUUAUAAAAGAAAAAAGUCCACAUUCAAGAAUACAGAGAAUUUCAAAAAUACAAGAAAAUAGAAAAAAGAAAAACAAGGUCUGGAAGCAUAUUAAAAUUCUUGUAUUCAUUAAAAAUCAAAUGGCUGUGUUUUCAGUUGUAUUGAGUUAUCAUAUGUGCACUGGUUCUUUGCCUUAGUUCCAAAUGUACUCAUAUUAUCAUCUCUAAAUCCAUCUGGAUAGUUUAUACAGUGAACCCUGGAAUCACCUUAGUUUCUCCAAACUCCAUCUACUUUUUGAGAAAAAAAAAAAGCGUAAGGCAGACCUUUCCCCAUUAGAUCUCCAACCUCUGUUGCUCCCUUCCCUCACUUGUUGGUAAAACUACUUUCUGGAAAGUUUGUUUACCUUUCAGACAAGACAAGGGGUGAAACAGAGGAGCAACAACCUCCUUGCCGUUGGCUAGAAUGAAGUGAGGGGAGUUACCAGGAUGCAGUGGUAUUAAUCCCCUGUUACUCUGAUGUUACCUCAGACCCUCUUCUAUUUAUUUGGCCAUACUCCCAGCACAGUGAUUUACAUCUUGGAGGAAGUAGUAUUUAAAUGUAUGUGCAUAAGAUUCUGUUGGGGAGUUUAUUAACAAUGCAGAUUCCUGAGCUCUAGCCUGCUCUAUGAAAUCUGCAUCCCUAGCAGAUUAGCACCCAGGAAUGCUCAUCGAUAAGCUUUUCCAGCGAGUAUGAUUAGGUAGGUGGUCUCAUGACCACAUUUUGGGAAACACAGACUUAGGAUGAUAUGAAAAGUGACGUCAGGCUGUGCUAAGUGCCAAGCCUUGAGUGGAAAGGUGUUUUAAGUCGCUAUCUCAUCUCAGAGUACAUAAUAAAUAUUUAAAUUUGAGAAAACUAGUAUAUAAUAUAUAAGUAAAACCUGUUAUUAUUUGCUAUUGUUUUUCUUUAUGGUUUCCACACAGAUAUCUGAUCUGCCUUAAGCAUUAUUUGCCUUGGUGAUCUGUAAAUUCCUGAAAAAGGGCGAAAGCUUAGGUGACAUACACUCUAAUUAAUGUGGCCCUCAUAUACUGUUUAAGUAACAGAACCCUUACCACUUACAGCUGGAAAGACUUUUAAAAAAUGUAGCCCAAGCUUUUUAAUUUUUUCAGGUGAAGACGCUUUUAUGCAGAGAGAUGAACUAAUGUAGGAAUCAUUUUGUACAGGGGAGUGGUCUGAAAUAUUAAUGGGCUAUUUUAACCAUCAGCUUGAAUAAUUCAAAGGUGUCUGCUUAAUUCUUGUGCUUUCCCAGUUCAGAUGAAAAUAUCCACAAAGAGAACUAUGUAAGUAAAUACAAUUAAUCAUAAUCAAUCAUGUACUGUCUUGGAUUUCCCUAAAACCAAAACACUGAAAUGGACACAUGACAUCCUUCUGGUCCUAAUUUUCCACCAAUUCAUGAAACAUUUCAUGCUUUGCUUGGGACAGCACAAAUCUUUCAACCUCCAAUUAUAUUAAUAUUAUGAGGGCACUGAAGUGCCCAAAUGUGACAUGAAGUCCUUGAGUGUGGAAUGGCCUUUUCCAAUAGACAUACAGUUUGCAUAAAUGGAAAUGAACACAAUAUUAUCACCCCUUGAGAUUUCCUGGUUUUGGAACAAAGAGGUGGUGGUCCUGGAUGCUUUACAGUAUAAUCUCCUUUUAGAGAUUCUUAGUGCACAAUAUUAUAAAUUCAGAGUUCUUCUGAAAUAAAGAAAAACAUUACCUUUA
rnacentral:lncRNA from 1 species